GCUACCCCCACCCCGCGCUCCCUUUUUCUCUCUUCCUUCCACACCAUCAGCCUCUUCCUUUCCUCCCUCCAUCUCGGCCUUUCUCCUGGUUCCUCCCCUCUGACCUGCACUCCUCCUUUCCAUUUCCUCUUCUCAGUCUUCUCAUCCUCGCACUCCUCCCCUCUGCGCUCCCUCAGUCUCCCCUCUCCUUCUUGUCCCAUUCCUCUCCUCCUUCUUUUUCUUUCUCCCAUCUCUCUCUCUCCUCAUUCCUCCCUUCUCUGAGUCUCCUGUCCUUCCUCUCAUCCCUCUUCUCCCUCCUCCCCGUCCUCUCCCCAGUUUCUUUCCUAGCCCCUCCCACCUCCUUUCAGUCUCUCUCCCUCUUUCCUUUCCUUACUCCCUGAAUCUGUUAUCUCUUCUCUCUCUCUCCUGUCUCGAGAGGCCCCUGCCAGCACCCCCGCUGGCCCUGCACCCUCACCCCCAGCUCCGAGCUCCUCACCUGCUCUGCCUCCCUUUCCCUCUCCUGCCCUAGAGGCACCAAGGCUUCCAAGUUCUGAGAGGCCGGGGAGUCCACCCGGGGGUCCCAGGGCAGGACAGUCCAGCCAGAGUCCCUGAGGUGGAAGGACUUUUGUGACACCCAUUUUCUCUCUCUUUUCUGUCUGUCCUGGACUCUGGACACUGUCUGGAGGGAUCAGGCCUACCCCAGGCCCAGGAAGGCGAAAACGAGGACCGAGCUCAGACAGGGAGCUAGCUGCCUAAAGACACACAGCAUGCCGCACGAAGCACAUCAGCGCUGGGAAGACCUCACCCGACCCCCACUUCACGAACAGAAAAUAGGCGCCCAGUGUUCCUGAAGACCAGCAUCUGCUAGGACAGAGGCUUCAUAGGAACCCCAACCUUCCCAAAGGACCGACAGUGCCCCCUGCUGGACACUUUUCUCCACUGAGAGGGACCACCUAGGCCUGACCUCCCCUGUAUCCACCUGAGAGCCCAUUCACCCAGACUGGGUGUACUCUUCCAUCGCCACCUGCUGGCAAAGGACAAAACUGCAACCCAGCUCUAUUACAAACUGGGAAUGGUCCCGACAAAUAAGGAUAGUGCCUGGGGGUGGGGGAGGGGCCGCAGGUCGGGAGAGGGGAAAGGGAGCCUUUGCAAAACUCUAUAAAAAUUAAGUUUUACUCCUAACCAGUCUAUAAACAUCAUACUCAACAAGCUCCUUCGUUCGCCAACUUA